rnacentral:misc_RNA from 1 species
CAAUAAGAGUGUUUAUGGCACCUCUUCAAAAAAUCCAUACCCACCUUGUGUGCAACGUAAGACAGAAAAAAAGAAGAUGCGAGUCAUGGGGAAACCCAAGUCUUGCUCCCUUUCUUUUUUCUUUUCCACAUACACCUUUCUAUUAGUUCCUAUUGUCUGAAGCUGUUAGAGAAUGACUAAUUCUUAAACA